GCCGGGGGCAGUAGUGCACACCUGUAAUCCCAGCAGCUCGGGAGGCUGAGGCAGGGGAGGAUCUCAUUCAAAGUCAGCCUCAGCAAAAGCGAGUUGCUAAGCAACUCAGUGAGACCCUGUCUCUA
rnacentral:sRNA from 1 species